rnacentral:rRNA from 1 species
CCUACGGUGGGCAGCAGUGGGGAAUAUUGCACAAUGGGGGAAACCCUGAUGCAGCGACGCCGCGUGAGUGAAGAAGUCUUUCGGUACGUAAAGCUCUAUCAGCAGGGAAGAAAAUGAAGGUACCUGACUAAGAAGCCACGGGUAACUACGUGACGGCAGCCGCGGUAACACGUAAGUGGCAAGCGUUAUCCGGAUUUACUGGGUGUAAAGGGAGCGUAGACGGCCGCGCAAGUCUGGAGUGAAAUGCCAGGGCUGAACCUCGGAACUGCGUUGGAUACUGUGCAGCUAGAGUGCAGGCUAGGUAAGCGGAAUGCCUAGUGUAGCGGUGAAAUGCGUAGAGAUUAGGAGGAACACCAGUUGCGAAGGCGGCUUACUGGACUGUAACUGACGUUGAGGCACGAAAGCGUGGGGAGCAAACAGGAUUAGAUACCCUGGUAGUC